AGGGAAAGGAGUAUAUCUUUGUGAUGAAGUGCGACAAUGUGGGAAGUAUCCGAGUUUCCUGAUUCAUUUUCUUUCUUCUUUCUUUUUUCAGGUAACACCAAGCCAUUCGUCUAAUGUGAUCUUAACUCCAAUGAAUUUUAAGGUGCAUUUUCUUUUCCCUCCUCAUUCAGUGUCAUGAUACCUGAAGACUAAAUGAGGUAUCAUUUUAAAUUCAGAAAUUCAAACAUAUGAACUGGAAAGGUAUCACGAGGAUAAACAAACAUCUUUAAACUUACGGGUCUAUUUGAUUUUACUUUCAUCUGUAAUUACAAAAAAAUGUCACCUUGUUCUCAAUUUGUUUCCUAUUUCAUAAGUUUUGUAUAGGAAUCAAUUAAACAACUAUUUCUUGUUUCCCCCUGUUUCCUAUGUAAAUUAUUGUAAAUAGAAAUGGAAACAGAUCAAAGAGGUCUUAAAUUUGUAAUUUUCAUUGGAGAUCCUAUGGUUAAGCACAUUUUGAGAUUAUUUGAUGUGAGAUCCAUUGCACUUAUCUGCAUGGUCUAGGUCCUGAGUCAGGACCUACUAAUUCUUGUCAAAUGCUUAUUAGGUAACGGGGUGAUUUGGUUACUAGAAUACUUAAACUGUGUGCGUUGAACAUUAUAUGUUUUGUAAUCUAUGCAGCUUAUGGAGAUUGCUCGAAACCAAGAUAAAGAUGUAAGUCUUUUUAUUUUUUCACAACUUCCAUAUAUUUGUAUUACUUUUUUUCUUUUUAUGCAACAACAUUAUAUGUUUUAUACAAGGUUGCCAACAAGACUUGUGAGCUUAUUAUAACUAAUGCAAUUUAUUUUCUAUCUUUUUUUUUUUUUUUUUCCUGAUUGACAUAUUCUAGUUGAAGGACAAAUGCAAACUUAUUGAUACAACAAACAUGUGAGUGAAAUGCUGGUUUUCGUUCAUUUUCUUGCGUAAAUUUUUUAAAUCUAGUAAUUUUCUCGUUUGGUCCUCUGCAUAGGUGGGUGAGUUUAAGAACCAUUAAGAGGCUUUUUGACACUAAGAGACUAAAGCUCCAGAUGCCCCCAAUCUCAAAGGUACAAUUCCUUAUUAUUAGUCCAGCAUUCUACUGCUCACUUAUUGAAAAUGAAUUGAAAGGGAUACUGCUCCCAGGAGGAUGACUAUGAUCAAACUCUUCUACAAGGAACAGAUGCUGGACCGGCAGUACAGGUAUUUUCAUUAUUGUUUAUGCUUCUCUGUCACAUCUUCAUGUUUGUUCUUCUGUUUUUAUGUUUUUCUUUUGCAUAAAACAGGAUUACCGUUCGAAUUUGAGGCUGUAGUUUUAGCAAUUGCAGCAAUAAAUAUACGACUAGUUAAUCUGCAAUGGUGCAAGUUCAAUUCUUGUUAAUAUAUCUUUUUUUAACCUGUAAAUUUUUAUCACCACCGGUGCUAUAAACGGUGAAGCUUAUUUCGGUUAGGUAGUAGUAAUGUCACAAAUCACAAUGGCCUUUAUAACCUAGUGCAGAGGAAAUAUACUAUUAAGUAUUAACUGAUAUUGCAGAAACUUGUUUCGAUUAGAUAUGAAGAUGCUAAUUGCUGUUUUUAAUGUAUCUUUUUUUUUUUUUUUAAUUCCAGUUCUUUGAUAAUGUGAUUGGUGUCUCCAUACCCAAAUCUCGUUUUGUUCCCUUGGAUGCAACAUCAGAUUUACUGCUUCUGCAGGUAGCAGAUCAAUUCUAUAUGUACAUUCUGCUAAUGAAAAACAUACUUUGCUUUAGAUGACUGACUUCCUCUCACCUUAUGUAUCCUUGCAGUCAGAUCUAUACACUUCUAGAGAAGGUGUUUUAGCUCGCAAUCCAGCUAGAACCAACGCUUUAAAUCCUGUGAUAGACUUGGGACCCAAAUAUGAAAAGGUGAAAAUUUUCUUAUUUCUUGUCUUAUCCAUGCCUUGUUUUAUUCCCUUUCAAAUGAAUUAUAUAUAUGUUCCAUUCUCAGAUUGCUGACUUUCGAAGUCGGUUCAAAUCCAUUCCAAGUAUCGUGGGGUUGGAUAGUUUGAUUGUGAGAGGCGACGUGUGGUUUGGGGCUAAUAUUACUUUGAAGGUAUGAUAUAUGUUUCUUUUUCUGUUAGUCGUGACUCGUGAGGCAUGCUAAUUAGUUCUGUAUUCCCUUCAAUUGUCUAGGGGUCCAUACUCCAUACUACACUUAGUGUUUCAAAUUUCUUAGAACCACUUGGGGUAUUGCCUGUAUGUUCUUUUUUGAAUAUCAUGGAAAACUUUUUACACACACUCUUUUUUUAUACCUUUGUAUUUGUGAAAUGAAAAGAUAUGGUAACAUAUUAUUAUGCCUCAAAUGCCCACUCUCCCGUUUUUUCCACCUUAGAUUGGGAUGUAUGGUGUAUCAGAGAAAGUUGGAUUUAGGUGAAUGAAUGUUUGUUUGCUAUUAUAUUUUGAUCUUGCUAGUUUGUAGAGAAAUUUAAGCACGGUUAAAAAUUGAGAAAUAGGAUAAAAAAAAAAAACAUCAAAGUGGAUUGUUUAUACGUACGUUUAAAGACUCCAAAUUGCAGCGCAAUAUCAGAACUGAUUCAAAUACAUAAGUGGGUCCAUGUAUGGUCUUGACAAGGAUAAUGCUUGCACAAGUUGAAACCGUGGAUGGACCAUUUCUGUCAUGGGGAUUUGUUGAUGUGGCCAAGUUAGUAGGUUAGCCUGCAUUAUGAGGGUGUGAGGCGUUAGAUGAGAGCGCAUGAAUAGUAUUGUUAGGGUAUGACUGCAUGUCUGUGAGGAACCUUGGUCCUUGUAGGAUAAACUGGAAUUUAUACAGUUAUCUUUUGAUUCAAUAUUACUAUUAGCAUCAAGCUCCUACUAUUAUGCACUGUCAAUUGUUCUAUAGCAGUUUUGAGGUUAUAGUAGUUUUGCGGUCAAGAUAUUUAAUACUUUUCAUCAUGCAAGAGUACUUUGGGUUUGAAGAAGCAAAACAUGGACCAUGCACAGGCUCAAUUUUCCUUGCACCGGAAUUCAACUAUAUUUUCGUAUAAUAUGGGGUUGAUAUUGUCAAGCUCUAGACCUUACCUUAUCUCUUUCCUGGAUAAUCCAGGAAAGAGAUAAAUCAGUUUUUUUUUUUAAUGUUGUAAAUCUACAUCUACAGAUUGUAAUUGUACCUUACCAAUACUCUAAACAGUAUUUAUGACUAUUUUUUCUCUCUGCCAAAUUUCCUUCAACUUUUCUUCUUGUUCAAAAGUUGUUAAGUUUUCUGCUUUUCAUGUGGAAUAGAAGAUUGACAUUAGCUCAAGUUCGAGUAGAAAACCUAAUUAUAAUUUACUGCAUUCAAAUUCUAUGAAAGUCUAGUAAUUUAACUAGUUCAUGAUGCUACUAAAUUUACACAGUUGGUAAUGUAGGGUGAGUUUGUCUUGACUACUGCCUGGAAGACCUAUGGAUUGUAUUUAUUUUUGCAUUGCCUGACCUUUUACCCACUAUCAGGGGCACAUGACUAUUGUUGCAAAACCGGGCUUGAAAUUGGAAAUUCCAGAUGGAGUUGUGAUUGAGAAUAAGGUACAAUACUAGUUUCAGUUUGAGCUUUUGAAUUUCUAUAUUACAAGUCUUCUUCUUUCAAUGGUUUAUAUUCUUGUUUGUUUAUUGGGCGGAGUAGUUGAGAUGUCUUGAAAACGUUUGUUUUGUUUGAACUGGUAUAACAGACAUCAUUGGUUUCUUGUUUUGUCUUUUGAAAACAUGGGCACUUAUAUUGAUUUUAUCAGAGGGUGCCCUUUUAGUUAUGUAUCCAGACUGCAAAUAUCUGAUGCACGAUUCCAAUGGUUCUCCAACCGGGAGUCAUAAUCUUGAUAUUUCUAGACAACUCUUUUUACCCUCCUUUCUGCUGGACUCUGAAAUUAAAUAUACCGAAUUCUGAAUUCAUUACGAUCGAACCCUGUGUAAGGGUUAGACCCAAAGCUACAGUUAUUCCUAAAACUGUUGAUUUGUGAAUCCCCAUGCUCUCAUGCCAUGCUCAAACUUGGUCCUUUUGAACUAUUUUGAAACUGGCCCUCUAACGGUGCAUCACUCUGUCAGGGGUAGGUCCCAUUUGAUCCACAUCAUUCAAACCAGUAAUAAAAAUUCGAAAGCCAUCUCCCUCGGCCCUGAUACUUCCUUUAAUUGGACCAAUAACAUAUUAAAUAUUUGAUCAAAUUCCUCCAGCAACUUGUCUGCUUCAAUGCUGCAAGUUGCUUUUCAGGUGCUAGAGUUUCUGACCUGUCUUAUUAAAUUCAAGUCACACUUCCUUAGCAUGUGAAUCUUGAACUGGCUUUAUUUAACCGGGAACAAACGCACCCUCAAUGUUCCCUUUCAAUUGCUAGGCAGCAGGAGAUCACUUGAAGUACAUGCUGCAUUGAUAGCUUAAGCUGGUUCAUUUCCUUUAAAGAAAAAAGCUUUGGAAUGGAAUUAAAAUCAUGUUUUCAUCUUGCUUUACAUAUCAUCAAGUAUUGAAUACCACAAGGGCACUAUGCAACAGUUCAACUAUCUUAAAAACAUAUUCCAAGUUCCAACCAAAUUAGGAAUUUUUUCUCAAUGAUCACGUCAAAAGUUGUACUGUACUGAUAGAACCUGAUAAUAAAACUAAGUAUCGCUGUUACUGAAACUAAACAGAGGGUAUGUACUACAUAGAUCUCUGUGAACAGGACAAGGAAAAUAAGGGAUGACAAUUGAGCGGUAGGCUAUUUGAGGUGCCUAUCCCAAACUUUGGAAACCUUACUCGGUUCCUGGAUAUCUCUCAGCACCUUUCCUCCCCAUUUGUGUAUUCCAAGCCAUCAGUGAUCCUUCCCUUACCAUCCUGUUGUUGCAGCUGAAAACCCAACACAUUCCAUUCCUUUUUUUUUUUUUUGAAGAACACAUUCCAUUCCUUUGUUACCCUCAUCUCUCUCUCUCUCUCUCUCUAGUAAGAGGUGACAGGAACAAAUAAUUACCCUCAGAUUAAAAUGAACGGUUCACAUUAAAAGCUGCACUUUAAAUUGCACUAAACGUGCUUAAUUAUACCACCGUCGUCUUCCCAAAAGCAUCCACACUCAAAAGAAGACAUCAAGCUGCUGCCAGGAUCGUGUACUUCUGAUACCAGUUGAUAGAACCUUGUAGGAUUCGUACGAAUACUGAACAGGACUUAUUUAUUAAUAAAACUUUGGGAAUAAUCCUUCCUUUUGAGUUGGUUAUGCAUUGAAAACAGAAAAUACAAAUGACAUUGAAGGAGGAAAGGGAAUUGUUGUGAACUUCCACAAACUGCUAGGAAACAAGGAGCCUAGUCUUUUCCAACCAACCAGUUACUAGUACAAAAUAACCGAAUGCCACCUGCUCUCCCUUACUCUAUUUAAAACAUACAACUAAAUUAGGAUUGGCCAUUUCUAUUGAGCCUGCACCUAACAUACACAUUCCUAAUAGUAUGCCUACGAACAUUCAUUAAAUGAAUGCCUUUCAGCAUGCUGACCUGAAGAGCUUGGGGAUUAUGAAGCAUUCCCCCAACAAGCUUUAACUAAUAGCAUCAUUGAAAGCCUUUUAAUUUUCCAGCAUUUAUGACAAUUUCAGCUAGUGACAUGAACUUCCUCUUGAUUAAUCAACACUUUUUCUCAGUUUUUUUCUUUUGGUAAUUUUCUUACAAUUUCUUUGUGCCAAUUUACAGGAGAUCAACGACAUUGCAGAUAUCCAAGAAUGAAUGGUUCACCAAUGUUGAGGGGUAUUUGUUUCUAAUGAAUAGGUGACUCCAGAUGCUUUGAUUUGCAGUGCAAUAAAGUUACAAAGCUCGCCAUCAGUUAGCUUUUCUAUUUACUGGGAACCGAAAGGUUGAAGAAACAAAUAACAAGUUUUGGAAGCGCCAUAACAGUGAUGAAAUAAUUGUCUCUACUCACUUAUUUGACCUUGUAGCUUUUUAGCUUUUAGAUAAAAAAAAAGGCUUGAUGCUGAGAUAAUGAAUAAAAAAGUAAAAGUGAUUGUUUUCCUUGAUACUACAUAGUCUCAUCAAUUGUUUACUGUACAACGAGUUGGAGCACGGAGCAGACAUUUUUUCAUCCUAUUUAAUUGGAGGUAUUAUAUUCGGCAUUGACUUAUUGUUAGUUAUAUACCGGCGGUACAACAAAAUCUUACUGUUUGUACUUUUUCUUUCGUCUGAUGUUGCACACUCAUUCAUGUCUAUCAAACAACAUCAUAAUCUAUGUAGGAAUGUUUAAUAACUGUUGCUGAUUUCGUAAUGGUUUCUUCUGAAACUCCUAGAGAUUAACUGAUAAAACAGUGUGUUGAUAUUGGCUUCAAAUUUGUGGUCUGGAAGAACAGAGAAAUCGUGACACGAUUUUGGCGUCGUGACACGAUUUCAAGGGGGCCGUGAGCUAGUUUGCAGGACGCCAAAUCGUGGCACGAUCUUGGGAAAUCGUGACACGAUUCAGAAACUUGCUCGUUAAGUAUCCCUGAUAAGGACUGGUCUACCUUGGGUCAGACGCAAAUCGUGACACGAUUUGGGAAAUCGUGACACGAUUGCUUCAGAGGAAGGCUAGUAUAUAUUGUGUUCUUGUGUUUUUUUACUGGGAGAACUUAAGAGAGCUUGAAUGAGCUUAGAGAGAGAACUUGGAUAGCAAAGGAGGGAACCAAUGGGUUGAGUGUCUUUGUUGAGAGUGUCUCUUGGGUUGGGAAAAACAUUGUAAUCACCUUGGGUUUUAGGGUUCAUAUUAAGAGAGUGGGGAAACACCAAAGGGUAGAAUCUAGGGUUUGUUCAUGUGUAAAGCUUGAAGGCUAGAGUUCUUGUAACCUUUUGUAACACUUUCUCAUAUUGGAUUGGAGAGCUGCUCUCUCCCCCAGAUUAGGCCAUAUUGGCUGAACUGGACCAACAAUCUUCUCGGUGUUUUGUUCUUCCUUUUAUCACUUAUCUUGUUUAUGCUUUGUUAUCUCUUUGUGUGGUUUUGCUAUACACUAGUCUAGGGCUGCUUUGUUGUUGUUUGCUUGGAGACCAAUUGUUCUCAUUGAUUACCACUAUCUCUUGCUCCACACAUCAUUGUUUAUUUCAUUGGUGUGACUUUGGAACCGGAUUCACAACAAUUGGCGCCCACCGUGGGGCAUAGGCGUUAUUGAUAGUAUCAUGGGGUCAAAGUGGGACAUCGAGAAGUUCACCGGAAGUAAUGAUUUCGGGUUGUGGAAGGUUAAGAUGCAAGCGGUUUUGACACAACAAAAGUGUGUAGAAGCAUUAAAGGGUGAAGCGGCGAUGUCGGCAACCUUGACACAAGAGGAGAAGCGUGAGAUGGUAGGUAGACAAGGCAAAGAGUGCCAUUGUCUUAUGUCUCGGAGAUAAGGUCUUAAGGGAUGUCGCGAGAGAAGCUACCGCGGCAUCGAUGUGGGCGAAGUUGGAGUCAUUGUAUAUGACGAAAUCUUUAGCUCAUGGGCAACUCUUGAAGCAACAACUCUAUUCAUUCAAGAUGGUGGAGUCUAAAUCAAUCUCGGAGCAAUUGACGGAUGUCAUACCCCAAAUUUUGACCACUUUCCUCUAUUCUUACCCAUUUUAUUCGUAUUUUUAAAGUCGGGAAUUUUCGCCGUUUCAGACGAAAUUUUGGCAAAGAGGUUACUUUGAAGUACCUCAUUUUUUAUUCCGAGUCGGACCCUCUUUUCUCUUUUUAUUUUCUUUUAUUAAUUUUAAUUUUAAGAUUAGUUACUUUUUUUAUAUUUAAUAAUUUUUAUUUUCCAUCUUUUAAUUUUAUUUUUCUUUACAUGAUUUAGUUUAAUUUGUUUUAUUUUAUUUCGUAUUAGAUUUAUUUUAUUUCUUUUUAAUUAAUUAGUGUCAAAAAAAAAAAACAAAGUGUCAAUAGGUCCAAAAUAAAAUGUACAAGGUCUAAAAAAAAAUUUCAAGUCAAGUUAAACUAAAUUGGGAUGUAUGGUGUAUCAGAGAAAGUUGGAUUUAGGUGAAUGAAUGUUUGUUUGCUAUUAUAUUUUGAUCUUGCUAGUUUGUAGAGAAAUUUAAGCACGGUUAAAAAUUGAGAAAUAGGAUAAAAAAAAAAAACAUCAAAGUGGAUUGUUUAUACGUACGUUUAAAGACUCCAAAUUGCAGCGCAAUAUCAGAACUGAUUCAAAUACAUAAGUGGGUCCAUGUAUGGUCUUGACAAGGAUAAUGCUUGCACAAGUUGAAACCGUGGAUGGACCAUUUCUGUCAUGGGGAUUUGUUGAUGUGGCCAAGUUAGUAGGUUAGCCUGCAUUAUGAGGGUGUGAGGCGUUAGAUGAGAGCGCAUGAAUAGUAUUGUUAGGGUAUGACUGCAUGUCUGUGAGGAACCUUGGUCCUUGUAGGAUAAACUGGAAUUUAUACAGUUAUCUUUUGAUUCAAUAUUACUAUUAGCAUCAAGCUCCUACUAUUAUGCACUGUCAAUUGUUCUAUAGCAGUUUUGAGGUUAUAGUAGUUUUGCGGUCAAGAUAUUUAAUACUUUUCAUCAUGCAAGAGUACUUUGGGUUUGAAGAAGCAAAACAUGGACCAUGCACAGGCUCAAUUUUCCUUGCACCGGAAUUCAACUAUAUUUUCGUAUAAUAUGGGGUUGAUAUUGUCAAGCUCUAGACCUUACCUUAUCUCUUUCCUGGAUAAUCCAGGAAAGAGAUAAAUCAGUUUUUUUUUUUAAUGUUGUAAAUCUACAUCUACAGAUUGUAAUUGUACCUUACCAAUACUCUAAACAGUAUUUAUGACUAUUUUUUCUCUCUGCCAAAUUUCCUUCAACUUUUCUUCUUGUUCAAAAGUUGUUAAGUUUUCUGCUUUUCAUGUGGAAUAGAAGAUUGACAUUAGCUCAAGUUCGAGUAGAAAACCUAAUUAUAAUUUACUGCAUUCAAAUUCUAUGAAAGUCUAGUAAUUUAACUAGUUCAUGAUGCUACUAAAUUUACACAGUUGGUAAUGUAGGGUGAGUUUGUCUUGACUACUGCCUGGAAGACCUAUGGAUUGUAUUUAUUUUUGCAUUGCCUGACCUUUUACCCACUAUCAGGGGCACAUGACUAUUGUUGCAAAACCGGGCUUGAAAUUGGAAAUUCCAGAUGGAGUUGUGAUUGAGAAUAAGGUACAAUACUAGUUUCAGUUUGAGCUUUUGAAUUUCUAUAUUACAAGUCUUCUUCUUUCAAUGGUUUAUAUUCUUGUUUGUUUAUUGGGCGGAGUAGUUGAGAUGUCUUGAAAACGUUUGUUUUGUUUGAACUGGUAUAACAGACAUCAUUGGUUUCUUGUUUUGUCUUUUGAAAACAUGGGCACUUAUAUUGAUUUUAUCAGAGGGUGCCCUUUUAGUUAUGUAUCCAGACUGCAAAUAUCUGAUGCACGAUUCCAAUGGUUCUCCAACCGGGAGUCAUAAUCUUGAUAUUUCUAGACAACUCUUUUUACCCUCCUUUCUGCUGGACUCUGAAAUUAAAUAUACCGAAUUCUGAAUUCAUUACGAUCGAACCCUGUGUAAGGGUUAGACCCAAAGCUACAGUUAUUCCUAAAACUGUUGAUUUGUGAAUCCCCAUGCUCUCAUGCCAUGCUCAAACUUGGUCCUUUUGAACUAUUUUGAAACUGGCCCUCUAACGGUGCAUCACUCUGUCAGGGGUAGGUCCCAUUUGAUCCACAUCAUUCAAACCAGUAAUAAAAAUUCGAAAGCCAUCUCCCUCGGCCCUGAUACUUCCUUUAAUUGGACCAAUAACAUAUUAAAUAUUUGAUCAAAUUCCUCCAGCAACUUGUCUGCUUCAAUGCUGCAAGUUGCUUUUCAGGUGCUAGAGUUUCUGACCUGUCUUAUUAAAUUCAAGUCACACUUCCUUAGCAUGUGAAUCUUGAACUGGCUUUAUUUAACCGGGAACAAACGCACCCUCAAUGUUCCCUUUCAAUUGCUAGGCAGCAGGAGAUCACUUGAAGUACAUGCUGCAUUGAUAGCUUAAGCUGGUUCAUUUCCUUUAAAGAAAAAAGCUUUGGAAUGGAAUUAAAAUCAUGUUUUCAUCUUGCUUUACAUAUCAUCAAGUAUUGAAUACCACAAGGGCACUAUGCAACAGUUCAACUAUCUUAAAAACAUAUUCCAAGUUCCAACCAAAUUAGGAAUUUUUUCUCAAUGAUCACGUCAAAAGUUGUACUGUACUGAUAGAACCUGAUAAUAAAACUAAGUAUCGCUGUUACUGAAACUAAACAGAGGGUAUGUACUACAUAGAUCUCUGUGAACAGGACAAGGAAAAUAAGGGAUGACAAUUGAGCGGUAGGCUAUUUGAGGUGCCUAUCCCAAACUUUGGAAACCUUACUCGGUUCCUGGAUAUCUCUCAGCACCUUUCCUCCCCAUUUGUGUAUUCCAAGCCAUCAGUGAUCCUUCCCUUACCAUCCUGUUGUUGCAGCUGAAAACCCAACACAUUCCAUUCCUUUUUUUUUUUUUUGAAGAACACAUUCCAUUCCUUUGUUACCCUCAUCUCUCUCUCUCUCUCUCUCUAGUAAGAGGUGACAGGAACAAAUAAUUACCCUCAGAUUAAAAUGAACGGUUCACAUUAAAAGCUGCACUUUAAAUUGCACUAAACGUGCUUAAUUAUACCACCGUCGUCUUCCCAAAAGCAUCCACACUCAAAAGAAGACAUCAAGCUGCUGCCAGGAUCGUGUACUUCUGAUACCAGUUGAUAGAACCUUGUAGGAUUCGUACGAAUACUGAACAGGACUUAUUUAUUAAUAAAACUUUGGGAAUAAUCCUUCCUUUUGAGUUGGUUAUGCAUUGAAAACAGAAAAUACAAAUGACAUUGAAGGAGGAAAGGGAAUUGUUGUGAACUUCCACAAACUGCUAGGAAACAAGGAGCCUAGUCUUUUCCAACCAACCAGUUACUAGUACAAAAUAACCGAAUGCCACCUGCUCUCCCUUACUCUAUUUAAAACAUACAACUAAAUUAGGAUUGGCCAUUUCUAUUGAGCCUGCACCUAACAUACACAUUCCUAAUAGUAUGCCUACGAACAUUCAUUAAAUGAAUGCCUUUCAGCAUGCUGACCUGAAGAGCUUGGGGAUUAUGAAGCAUUCCCCCAACAAGCUUUAACUAAUAGCAUCAUUGAAAGCCUUUUAAUUUUCCAGCAUUUAUGACAAUUUCAGCUAGUGACAUGAACUUCCUCUUGAUUAAUCAACACUUUUUCUCAGUUUUUUUCUUUUGGUAAUUUUCUUACAAUUUCUUUGUGCCAAUUUACAGGAGAUCAACGACAUUGCAGAUAUCCAAGAAUGAAUGGUUCACCAAUGUUGAGGGGUAUUUGUUUCUAAUGAAUAGGUGACUCCAGAUGCUUUGAUUUGCAGUGCAAUAAAGUUACAAAGCUCGCCAUCAGUUAGCUUUUCUAUUUACUGGGAACCGAAAGGUUGAAGAAACAAAUAACAAGUUUUGGAAGCGCCAUAACAGUGAUGAAAUAAUUGUCUCUACUCACUUAUUUGACCUUGUAGCUUUUUAGCUUUUAGAUAAAAAAAAGGCUUGAUGCUGAGAUAAUGAAUAAAAAAGUAAAAGUGAUUGUUUUCCUUGAUACUACAUAGUCUCAUCAAUUGUUUACUGUACAACGAGUUGGAGCACGGAGCAGACAUUUUUUCAUCCUAUUUAAUUGGAGGUAUUAUAUUCGGCAUUGACUUAUUGUUAGUUAUAUACCGGCGGUACAACAAAAUCUUACUGUUUGUACUUUUUCUUUCGUCUGAUGUUGCACACUCAUUCAUGUCUAUCAAACAACAUCAUAAUCUAUGUAGGAAUGUUUAAUAACUGUUGCUGAUUUCGUAAUGGUUUCUUCUGAAACUCCUAGAGAUUAACUGAUAAAACAGUGUGUUGAUAUUGGCUUCAAAUUUGUGGUCUGGAAGAACAGAGAAAUCGUGACACGAUUUUGGCGUCGUGACACGAUUUCAAGGGGGCCGUGAGCUAGUUUGCAGGACGCCAAAUCGUGGCACGAUCUUGGGAAAUCGUGACACGAUUCAGAAACUUGCUCGUUAAGUAUCCCUGAUAAGGACUGGUCUACCUUGGGUCAGACGCAAAUCGUGACACGAUUUGGGAAAUCGUGACACGAUUGCUUCAGAGGAAGGCUAGUAUAUAUUGUGUUCUUGUGUUUUUUUACUGGGAGAACUUAAGAGAGCUUGAAUGAGCUUAGAGAGAGAACUUGGAUAGCAAAGGAGGGAACCAAUGGGUUGAGUGUCUUUGUUGAGAGUGUCUCUUGGGUUGGGAAAAACAUUGUAAUCACCUUGGGUUUUAGGGUUCAUAUUAAGAGAGUGGGGAAACACCAAAGGGUAGAAUCUAGGGUUUGUUCAUGUGUAAAGCUUGAAGGCUAGAGUUCUUGUAACCUUUUGUAACACUUUCUCAUAUUGGAUUGGAGAGCUGCUCUCUCCCCCAGAUUAGGCCAUAUUGGCUGAACUGGACCAACAAUCUUCUCGGUGUUUUGUUCUUCCUUUUAUCACUUAUCUUGUUUAUGCUUUGUUAUCUCUUUGUGUGGUUUUGCUAUACACUAGUCUAGGGCUGCUUUGUUGUUGUUUGCUUGGAGACCAAUUGUUCUCAUUGAUUACCACUAUCUCUUGCUCCACACAUCAUUGUUUAUUUCAUUGGUGUGACUUUGGAACCGGAUUCACAACAAUUGGCGCCCACCGUGGGGCAUAGGCGUUAUUGAUAGUAUCAUGGGGUCAAAGUGGGACAUCGAGAAGUUCACCGGAAGUAAUGAUUUCGGGUUGUGGAAGGUUAAGAUGCAAGCGGUUUUGACACAACAAAAGUGUGUAGAAGCAUUAAAGGGUGAAGCGGCGAUGUCGGCAACCUUGACACAAGAGGAGAAGCGUGAGAUGGUAGGUAGACAAGGCAAAGAGUGCCAUUGUCUUAUGUCUCGGAGAUAAGGUCUUAAGGGAUGUCGCGAGAGAAGCUACCGCGGCAUCGAUGUGGGCGAAGUUGGAGUCAUUGUAUAUGACGAAAUCUUUAGCUCAUGGGCAACUCUUGAAGCAACAACUCUAUUCAUUCAAGAUGGUGGAGUCUAAAUCAAUCUCGGAGCAAUUGACGGAUGUCAUACCCCAAAUUUUGACCACUUUCCUCUAUUCUUACCCAUUUUAUUCGUAUUUUUAAAGUCGGGAAUUUUCGCCGUUUCAGACGAAAUUUUGGCAAAGAGGUUACUUUGAAGUACCUCAUUUUUUAUUCCGAGUCGGACCCUCUUUUCUCUUUUUAUUUUCUUUUAUUAAUUUUAAUUUUAAGAUUAGUUACUUUUUUUAUAUUUAAUAAUUUUUAUUUUCCAUCUUUUAAUUUUAUUUUUCUUUACAUGAUUUAGUUUAAUUUGUUUUAUUUUAUUUCGUAUUAGAUUUAUUUUAUUUCUUUUUAAUUAAUUAGUGUCAAAAAAAAAAAACAAAGUGUCAAUAGGUCCAAAAUAAAAUGUACAAGGUCUAAAAAAAAAUUUCAAGUCAAGUUAAACUAAAUUGGGAUGUAUGGUGUAUCAGAGAAAGUUGGAUUUAGGUGAAUGAAUGUUUGUUUGCUAUUAUAUUUUGAUCUUGCUAGUUUGUAGAGAAAUUUAAGCACGGUUAAAAAUUGAGAAAUAGGAUAAAAAAAAAAAACAUCAAAGUGGAUUGUUUAUACGUACGUUUAAAGACUCCAAAUUGCAGCGCAAUAUCAGAACUGAUUCAAAUACAUAAGUGGGUCCAUGUAUGGUCUUGACAAGGAUAAUGCUUGCACAAGUUGAAACCGUGGAUGGACCAUUUCUGUCAUGGGGAUUUGUUGAUGUGGCCAAGUUAGUAGGUUAGCCUGCAUUAUGAGGGUGUGAGGCGUUAGAUGAGAGCGCAUGAAUAGUAUUGUUAGGGUAUGACUGCAUGUCUGUGAGGAACCUUGGUCCUUGUAGGAUAAACUGGAAUUUAUACAGUUAUCUUUUGAUUCAAUAUUACUAUUAGCAUCAAGCUCCUACUAUUAUGCACUGUCAAUUGUUCUAUAGCAGUUUUGAGGUUAUAGUAGUUUUGCGGUCAAGAUAUUUAAUACUUUUCAUCAUGCAAGAGUACUUUGGGUUUGAAGAAGCAAAACAUGGACCAUGCACAGGCUCAAUUUUCCUUGCACCGGAAUUCAACUAUAUUUUCGUAUAAUAUGGGGUUGAUAUUGUCAAGCUCUAGACCUUACCUUAUCUCUUUCCUGGAUAAUCCAGGAAAGAGAUAAAUCAGUUUUUUUUUUUAAUGUUGUAAAUCUACAUCUACAGAUUGUAAUUGUACCUUACCAAUACUCUAAACAGUAUUUAUGACUAUUUUUUCUCUCUGCCAAAUUUCCUUCAACUUUUCUUCUUGUUCAAAAGUUGUUAAGUUUUCUGCUUUUCAUGUGGAAUAGAAGAUUGACAUUAGCUCAAGUUCGAGUAGAAAACCUAAUUAUAAUUUACUGCAUUCAAAUUCUAUGAAAGUCUAGUAAUUUAACUAGUUCAUGAUGCUACUAAAUUUACACAGUUGGUAAUGUAGGGUGAGUUUGUCUUGACUACUGCCUGGAAGACCUAUGGAUUGUAUUUAUUUUUGCAUUGCCUGACCUUUUACCCACUAUCAGGGGCACAUGACUAUUGUUGCAAAACCGGGCUUGAAAUUGGAAAUUCCAGAUGGAGUUGUGAUUGAGAAUAAGGUACAAUACUAGUUUCAGUUUGAGCUUUUGAAUUUCUAUAUUACAAGUCUUCUUCUUUCAAUGGUUUAUAUUCUUGUUUGUUUAUUGGGCGGAGUAGUUGAGAUGUCUUGAAAACGUUUGUUUUGUUUGAACUGGUAUAACAGACAUCAUUGGUUUCUUGUUUUGUCUUUUGAAAACAUGGGCACUUAUAUUGAUUUUAUCAGAGGGUGCCCUUUUAGUUAUGUAUCCAGACUGCAAAUAUCUGAUGCACGAUUCCAAUGGUUCUCCAACCGGGAGUCAUAAUCUUGAUAUUUCUAGACAACUCUUUUUACCCUCCUUUCUGCUGGACUCUGAAAUUAAAUAUACCGAAUUCUGAAUUCAUUACGAUCGAACCCUGUGUAAGGGUUAGACCCAAAGCUACAGUUAUUCCUAAAACUGUUGAUUUGUGAAUCCCCAUGCUCUCAUGCCAUGCUCAAACUUGGUCCUUUUGAACUAUUUUGAAACUGGCCCUCUAACGGUGCAUCACUCUGUCAGGGGUAGGUCCCAUUUGAUCCACAUCAUUCAAACCAGUAAUAAAAAUUCGAAAGCCAUCUCCCUCGGCCCUGAUACUUCCUUUAAUUGGACCAAUAACAUAUUAAAUAUUUGAUCAAAUUCCUCCAGCAACUUGUCUGCUUCAAUGCUGCAAGUUGCUUUUCAGGUGCUAGAGUUUCUGACCUGUCUUAUUAAAUUCAAGUCACACUUCCUUAGCAUGUGAAUCUUGAACUGGCUUUAUUUAACCGGGAACAAACGCACCCUCAAUGUUCCCUUUCAAUUGCUAGGCAGCAGGAGAUCACUUGAAGUACAUGCUGCAUUGAUAGCUUAAGCUGGUUCAUUUCCUUUAAAGAAAAAAGCUUUGGAAUGGAAUUAAAAUCAUGUUUUCAUCUUGCUUUACAUAUCAUCAAGUAUUGAAUACCACAAGGGCACUAUGCAACAGUUCAACUAUCUUAAAAACAUAUUCCAAGUUCCAACCAAAUUAGGAAUUUUUUCUCAAUGAUCACGUCAAAAGUUGUACUGUACUGAUAGAACCUGAUAAUAAAACUAAGUAUCGCUGUUACUGAAACUAAACAGAGGGUAUGUACUACAUAGAUCUCUGUGAACAGGACAAGGAAAAUAAGGGAUGACAAUUGAGCGGUAGGCUAUUUGAGGUGCCUAUCCCAAACUUUGGAAACCUUACUCGGUUCCUGGAUAUCUCUCAGCACCUUUCCUCCCCAUUUGUGUAUUCCAAGCCAUCAGUGAUCCUUCCCUUACCAUCCUGUUGUUGCAGCUGAAAACCCAACACAUUCCAUUCCUUUUUUUUUUUUUUGAAGAACACAUUCCAUUCCUUUGUUACCCUCAUCUCUCUCUCUCUCUCUCUCUAGUAAGAGGUGACAGGAACAAAUAAUUACCCUCAGAUUAAAAUGAACGGUUCACAUUAAAAGCUGCACUUUAAAUUGCACUAAACGUGCUUAAUUAUACCACCGUCGUCUUCCCAAAAGCAUCCACACUCAAAAGAAGACAUCAAGCUGCUGCCAGGAUCGUGUACUUCUGAUACCAGUUGAUAGAACCUUGUAGGAUUCGUACGAAUACUGAACAGGACUUAUUUAUUAAUAAAACUUUGGGAAUAAUCCUUCCUUUUGAGUUGGUUAUGCAUUGAAAACAGAAAAUACAAAUGACAUUGAAGGAGGAAAGGGAAUUGUUGUGAACUUCCACAAACUGCUAGGAAACAAGGAGCCUAGUCUUUUCCAACCAACCAGUUACUAGUACAAAAUAACCGAAUGCCACCUGCUCUCCCUUACUCUAUUUAAAACAUACAACUAAAUUAGGAUUGGCCAUUUCUAUUGAGCCUGCACCUAACAUACACAUUCCUAAUAGUAUGCCUACGAACAUUCAUUAAAUGAAUGCCUUUCAGCAUGCUGACCUGAAGAGCUUGGGGAUUAUGAAGCAUUCCCCCAACAAGCUUUAACUAAUAGCAUCAUUGAAAGCCUUUUAAUUUUCCAGCAUUUAUGACAAUUUCAGCUAGUGACAUGAACUUCCUCUUGAUUAAUCAACACUUUUUCUCAGUUUUUUUCUUUUGGUAAUUUUCUUACAAUUUCUUUGUGCCAAUUUACAGGAGAUCAACGACAUUGCAGAUAUCCAAGAAUGAAUGGUUCACCAAUGUUGAGGGGUAUUUGUUUCUAAUGAAUAGGUGACUCCAGAUGCUUUGAUUUGCAGUGCAAUAAAGUUACAAAGCUCGCCAUCAGUUAGCUUUUCUAUUUACUGGGAACCGAAAGGUUGAAGAAACAAAUAACAAGUUUUGGAAGCGCCAUAACAGUGAUGAAAUAAUUGUCUCUACUCACUUAUUUGACCUUGUAGCUUUUUAGCUUUUAGAUAAAAAAAAAGGCUUGAUGCUGAGAUAAUGAAUAAAAAAGUAAAAGUGAUUGUUUUCCUUGAUACUACAUAGUCUCAUCAAUUGUUUACUGUACAACGAGUUGGAGCACGGAGCAGACAUUUUUUCAUCCUAUUUAAUUGGAGGUAUUAUAUUCGGCAUUGACUUAUUGUUAGUUAUAUACCGGCGGUACAACAAAAUCUUACUGUUUGUACUUUUUCUUUCGUCUGAUGUUGCACACUCAUUCAUGUCUAUCAAACAACAUCAUAAUCUAUGUAGGAAUGUUUAAUAACUGUUGCUGAUUUCGUAAUGGUUUCUUCUGAAACUCCUAGAGAUUAACUGAUAAAACAGUGUGUUGAUAUUGGCUUCAAAUUUGUGGUCUGGAAGAACAGAGAAAUCGUGACACGAUUUUGGCGUCGUGACACGAUUUCAAGGGGGCCGUGAGCUAGUUUGCAGGACGCCAAAUCGUGGCACGAUCUUGGGAAAUCGUGACACGAUUCAGAAACUUGCUCGUUAAGUAUCCCUGAUAAGGACUGGUCUACCUUGGGUCAGACGCAAAUCGUGACACGAUUUGGGAAAUCGUGACACGAUUGCUUCAGAGGAAGGCUAGUAUAUAUUGUGUUCUUGUGUUUUUUUACUGGGAGAACUUAAGAGAGCUUGAAUGAGCUUAGAGAGAGAACUUGGAUAGCAAAGGAGGGAACCAAUGGGUUGAGUGUCUUUGUUGAGAGUGUCUCUUGGGUUGGGAAAAACAUUGUAAUCACCUUGGGUUUUAGGGUUCAUAUUAAGAGAGUGGGGAAACACCAAAGGGUAGAAUCUAGGGUUUGUUCAUGUGUAAAGCUUGAAGGCUAGAGUUCUUGUAACCUUUUGUAACACUUUCUCAUAUUGGAUUGGAGAGCUGCUCUCUCCCCCAGAUUAGGCCAUAUUGGCUGAACUGGACCAACAAUCUUCUCGGUGUUUUGUUCUUCCUUUUAUCACUUAUCUUGUUUAUGCUUUGUUAUCUCUUUGUGUGGUUUUGCUAUACACUAGUCUAGGGCUGCUUUGUUGUUGUUUGCUUGGAGACCAAUUGUUCUCAUUGAUUACCACUAUCUCUUGCUCCACACAUCAUUGUUUAUUUCAUUGGUGUGACUUUGGAACCGGAUUCACAACAAUUGGCGCCCACCGUGGGGCAUAGGCGUUAUUGAUAGUAUCAUGGGGUCAAAGUGGGACAUCGAGAAGUUCACCGGAAGUAAUGAUUUCGGGUUGUGGAAGGUUAAGAUGCAAGCGGUUUUGACACAACAAAAGUGUGUAGAAGCAUUAAAGGGUGAAGCGGCGAUGUCGGCAACCUUGACACAAGAGGAGAAGCGUGAGAUGGUAGGUAGACAAGGCAAAGAGUGCCAUUGUCUUAUGUCUCGGAGAUAAGGUCUUAAGGGAUGUCGCGAGAGAAGCUACCGCGGCAUCGAUGUGGGCGAAGUUGGAGUCAUUGUAUAUGACGAAAUCUUUAGCUCAUGGGCAACUCUUGAAGCAACAACUCUAUUCAUUCAAGAUGGUGGAGUCUAAAUCAAUCUCGGAGCAAUUGACGGAUGUCAUACCCCAAAUUUUGACCACUUUCCUCUAUUCUUACCCAUUUUAUUCGUAUUUUUAAAGUCGGGAAUUUUCGCCGUUUCAGACGAAAUUUUGGCAAAGAGGUUACUUUGAAGUACCUCAUUUUUUAUUCCGAGUCGGACCCUCUUUUCUCUUUUUAUUUUCUUUUAUUAAUUUUAAUUUUAAGAUUAGUUACUUUUUUUAUAUUUAAUAAUUUUUAUUUUCCAUCUUUUAAUUUUAUUUUUCUUUACAUGAUUUAGUUUAAUUUGUUUUAUUUUAUUUCGUAUUAGAUUUAUUUUAUUUCUUUUUAAUUAAUUAGUGUCAAAAAAAAAAAACAAAGUGUCAAUAGGUCCAAAAUAAAAUGUACAAGGUCUAAAAAAAAAUUUCAAGUCAAGUGUCAACUUUAACAUUCCUUUUUCAAAAUUCACCAUAAUUGUCCAUCAUUUCCAUUAAACCAUUUUUCCUUUUUUCAUCAACCUCCUCACCUAUAAAUAGAGCCCUCAUUCCACACAAUUUCACACACCAAAAAGUUCUCUUGAGUUGUCAAAGAACUUUUCUCUCUUCUCCCUAUUUAGCUUGUGUUAACGAGCUAUUCUUUUCUUCUCCCUUUUUUUUCUGUCCCUUCGGAAUAAGUCCCUUCGGAAAAGUCCCUUCGGAAUUUUGUCCCUUCGGUAGUCCAUUUCUUUUAUUUUCUUGCAUUUUUAUUUCUUUUUAGCAUUUUUACAUUUUAUUUUAUUUCUAUUUAGCAUUUUAAUUAUUGUUAUUUAUUUUCCAGCAAUUAGAAUGUAUUUAGGUCCAAUGUAAAUAUAAAUGAGAAAAGUGUGUGGGUGUGUGUGUCCUUUUAUUUCCUUACCGCCUUAGAUAUAUCCAAAAAAUGCAAAAAAAUUAGAUUAGGGAUUUUGUGGUGAUCCAACAUCACUACAAAAAUCCACGCGCUUUUAUUUUUAUUGCUCCGUCAGUUUAAUUUUCAUUUAUUAUUCAAAAACAACAAAAACAUGCAAAACUCCAAAAAUAUUUUCUUAAUAAACCUUGGUUUGUAACCCAAGUGUUUUCCUUUUUAUUUUCUUAAUCAAAUGCUUAAUUGAAUUAAUAUUCAUAAUAGACUUGAUUUCUUUGUAAUUAAAAUUCGACCAACCUCACCUUAUUUUAUCUCAUGCCUUGAGGCCUCUUUCCCUUCUAAAAACCCAUUUUCAAAAAAUCUUAAAAUCAACCUAACCCACCAAAAAGAAACUUUUUAGGUGAACUACAUUGGUUUUGAUCCCUUUUCUUUAAGGGUAUGUAGGCAUAGGAUUUUUAUCCUUCCAAAUCAAAUAAAAAUAAACAAAAACAUACUUCUUCUCCCCCCAUUCUUUCACUUAGACUUUUAGGUAAUAAUUUUUCAAGUAAGCAAAUGAAUUUAGCACAAGAUAAUUUAGGUAAGAGGUUCCUAUGGAAUACCAUAGACGCUUAGGGUGCUAGCACCUUCCCUUCGCGUAACCAACCCCCGAAUCCAAAGUCUCGAUAAGGGUUUUUACUCAUUUUUUCCCUUCCCACGAAUAAAAAUCGAGAGUUCAAAGAUUAACGAUUCAAAUCAAUUAAUGAUUUGAUAUCCGAAAAUCACGAGCACAACGGAGUUUAACAAGAUUCUUGAUGAUUUGGCCAACAUUGAAGUUAACAUGGAAGAUGAGGAUAAGGCUUUGUUGUUACUUUGUUCAUUACCAAAGUCCUUUGAGCAUUUCAAGAAUACCAUCCUUUAUGGUAAGGAGGGCACUACUACUUUGGAGGAGGUCCAAGCGGCUUUGAGAACCAAGGAAUUGACCAAGUUCAAGGACAUGAAGAUUGAUGAAGGUAGUGAAGGCUUGAAUGUUACAAGAGGGAGGAAUGAGCAUAGAGGAAAAGGCAAGGGGAAGUCGAGGUCCAAGUCUAGGUCCAAGGGCUUUGACAAAUCAAAGUAUAAAUGCUUUCUUUGUCACAAGCAAGGUCAUUUCAAGAAAGAUUGUCCGGAUAAGAGGGGCGAUGGUAGUCCUUCGGUUCAAGUUGUGGAGGCUUCAAAUGAAGAAGGUUAUGAGAGUGCGGGUGCACUAGUGGUAACAAGUUGGGAACCGGAGAAGAGCUGGGUUUUGGACUCGGGAUGCUCUUAUCACAUGUGUCCUAGAAAGGAAUAUUUUGAGACUUUGAUUCUAAAAGAAGGAGGAGUUGUUCGACUCGGAAAUAACAAAGCUUGCAAAGUCCAAGGCAUGGGCAACGUUCGUCUAAAUAUGUUUGAUGGCCGUGAAUUCCUUUUAAGGGAUGUAAGGUUUGUUCCCGAACUUAAGCGUAAUUUAAUUUCCCUAAGCAUGUUUGAUAAUCUAGGUUAUUGCACUAGAAUAGAGCAUGGGGUUUGUAAAAUUUCGCAUGGUGCACUGAUUACGGUUAAGGGGUCUAGAAUGAAUGGUUUAUACAUUUUAGAUGGUUCCAUAGUAAUUGGUAAUGCAUCGGUAGCUAGUGUUGCAUCUCAUAAUAAUUCUGAAUUGUGGCAUUUGAGAUUGGGGCAUGUUCGUGAGAGGGGUUUAGUUGAACUAGCUAAACAAGGUUUGCUAGGGAAAGAUAAAUUGGACAAGCUAGAAUUUUGUGAGCAUUGCAUACUAAGCAAACAACAUAGGGUGAAGUUUGGAAGUGGCAUGCAUCAUUCUAGUAGGUCUUUUGAGUAUGUGCAUUCGGAUCUUUGGGGUCCUUCUAAGACUCCUACUCAUGGGGGAGGUUCCUAUUUUCUUUCUAUCAUUGAUGAUUAUUCUAGGAGAGUGUGGGUCUUUGUUUUGAAAAACAAAAGUGACACCUUUGAAAAGUUUAAAGAAUGGCACACUCUCAUAGAAAAUCAAAUGGGAACUAAACUAAAAGGUUUAAGAACUGACAAUGGCCUGGAGUUUGUUUCAGAGCAGUUUAAUGAGUUUUGCAGGUUGAAAGGAAUCAAGAGGCAUAGAACCGUACCGAGAACACCACAACAAAAUGGUCUUGCGGAACGCAUGAAUAGGACUCUUUUGGAGCGUGUGAGAUGUAUGAUUCUAGGAGCUGGGUUACCUAAGAGUUUCUGGGGUGAAGCCGUGACAACGGCUGCUUAUUUGAUCAAUAGAUGUCCAUCAACGGGGAUAGACUUCAAGACACCUAUGGAGGUAUGGAGUGGGAAACCGGCAGAUUACUCCUCUUUGAAGGUUUUCGGAGCUUUGGCAUAUGCGCAUAUCAAGCAAGACAAGCUUGAGCCUAGAGCUUUGAAAUGUGUCUUCAUUGGUUAUCCGGAAGGUGUGAAGGGGUACAAGUUGUGGAAAUUGGAAUCUAGUGGAGGAUCAAGAGUCUUGAUAAGUAGGGAUGUUACCUUUGAUGAGACCCGUAUGGGGAUGAAGUGCAAAGACCUAGAGACUCAAGUACCGGAAACUAUGGUGGAGAAAACUCAGUUUGAGGUGGAGCUUCCAAAUGAAGAAGAAGAAGAUGUAGAAGAUGAAGCUUCGACAUCGGAUACUAGUGGAACUCAACCGGUAGUGGAUCCUGAGUAUCUAUUGGCUAGAGAUAGAGAAAGAAUGACCAUUACGGCUCCUAAGAGAUUCGGUUAUGCGGACUUGGUGUGUUUUGCUCUAAAUGCGGCGGAAGAUGUGCAAGACUCUGAGCCUAGAAACUUCAAGGAGGCAUUUGAGAGCAAAGAGAGCAAGUAUUGGUUGAAGGCGGUGAAUGAAGAAAUGGAUUCAUUGGAAAGGAACCAAACUUGGAAACUUGUGAAGCUACCUAAUCACCAAAGGGUAGUUGGAUGCAAGUGGAUCUUCAAGAAAAAGGAUGGCAUUCCGGGUGUUGAAGGUCCAAGGUACAAAGCAAGACUUGUGGCAAAGGGUUUCACUCAAGUGGAGGGGAUCGACUACAACGAGAUCUUUUCACCGGUGGUGAAGCAUUGUUCCAUAAGGAUAUUUAUGACUAUUGUGAAUCAAUUCAAUCUUGAGUUGGAACAAAUGGAUGUGAAGACCGCUUUCUUACAUGGUGACCUUGAAGAGACAAUCUACAUGGAGCAACCGGAAGGUUUUGUGGAGGACAAGUCUAAGGUGUGUCUUUUAAAGAAAUCUUUGUAUGGGUUGAAGCAAAGCCCUACGCAAUGGUAUCGUCGUUUUGAUGAAUUUCUUUUGAAGACCGGUUUUGUGAGAAGCGGAUAUGAUUCUUGUGUGUACAUGUUGAAGAAAAGUGAGAAAGUCAUUCUCUAUCUUCUUUUAUAUGUGGAUGAUAUCUUGAUGGCGAGCUCUAGCAAGGAUGAGAUUAUGAAGCUCAAAGAGAGGUUAAAUGGUGAAUUUGAGAUGAAAGAUCUUGGUCCGGCAAAGAGUGUUCUUGGGAUUGAUAACGUGAGGAAUCGUGACAAAGGCGAACUUUUCUUAUCUCAACUUAGUUAUUUGAAGAAGGUGGUGGAGCGUUUUAGAAUGUCAAACUCUAAAACCGUGAGCACUCCCUUGGGGCACCACACAAAGUUGUCCAUACAACAAUGUCCUCAAUCCGAGGAUGAGAAGCAAUUGAUGGAAGGUACUCCCUAUGCAAGUGGGGUUGGAAGCAUCAUGUAUGGAAUGGUUUGUAGUAGGCCAGACUUAGCUUAUGCGGUUAGCAUUGUGAGUCGGUUUAUGGCGAACCCGGGAAUUGUGCAUUGGCAAGCCUUGAAGUGGGUAUUGAGGUAUUUGAAUGGGUCGUUGAAGGGCGGUUUGAAGUACACAAGGGCAGCUCAAGAUGAAGACGCUUUGGAGGGGUAUGUUGAUGCGGAUUAUGCGGGCAAUGUGGACACUAGAAAAUCCUUAUCGGGUUUUGUGUUUACUCUUUAUGGCACGGCUAUUAGUUGGAAGGCAAAUCAACAAUCCGUGGUGGCAUUAUCUACAACUCAAGCGGAGUACAUCGCACUUGUUGAAGGUGUGAAGGAGGCCAUAUGGUUGAAAGGGAUGAUUGGUGAGUUAGGAAUUACUCAAGAAUGUGUGAAGAUACAUUGUGAUAGUCAAAGUGCCAUUCACUUGGCAAAUCAUCAAGUGUAUCAUGAAAGGACAAAGCACAUCGACAUUCGCCUGCACUUUGUUAGAGACAUGAUUGAAUCAAAAGAGAUUGUGGUUGAGAAAGUGGCAUCGGAGGAGAAUCCGGCGGAUGUGUUCACCAAGUCAUUGCCUAGAUCAAGAUUCAAGCAUUGCUUGGACUUGAUCAAGUUUGUCGAAGAGUAAUUCCCUUUUGGAGAGAGCAGCAUGGUGGUUGAUGGUUAAACUGACAUCACCACCAAAUUAGAAGUCAAGGUGGAGAAAUGUUGAUAUUGGCUUCAAAUUUGUGGUCUGGAAGAACAGAGAAAUCGUGACACGAUUUCAAGGGGGCCGUGAGCUAGUUUGCAGGACGCCAAAUCGUGGCACGAUCUUGGGAAAUCGUGACACGAUUCAGAAACUU
rnacentral:lncRNA from 1 species